GCCGAGGGAGCAGCUGUUCCUGUUGUUCCAGAUAGACCUCAUCCACAGCAGUGCGGUGCUGGUGAUCCAGCACCUCCAAAGCAACUACAGUUCCUUGACUUAAUGACCUCUGUGGAUGACCCUCGUCACAUAUUUUCUCUCGAUUUCCCUCUGUGGUUCCAACUUAGCCAGAUUGUCUGCACCAAGAUGAUAUUUUGGGCAGUUAUUGGAGACUGUUUCCACCUAAUUUUUUACACUUGUGCUGCCAUAAAUAGUAAAGGAGGGAGAGAAUGCAUGCAAGUUAUGUAACAGUAUCCUUAUAGAUGCUUAUAAAAUCAUCAUUUAUUUUCUGUUUAGGGGACACGUCUUGUUAUAUAAAUGUUAAUCUGACUGUCUCUUGUUUAUAGGAUUCUGUUUGGCCAGUGGCCAUACUAGUGGGUGCAGGAAACUGUCUUUUACCGGAAUAAUUCACUUCCUCAGCUGUAGCAGUUCCACAUUACCUGUGAAACAGGAACAGAGGACCUGAGCCCUAGGAUCAUACCUCAGGACUACCUAGCUUGAUGACUCCUGGCUGUCCAUAGUCCACCUGGUUGUACUGCUGCUCCAGUUUCAACUGUUCUGCCUGCGGCUAGGGAACCCUGACCUGUUCAUCGGACGUACUGUUUUCAACUCUCUCUCUCUCUACCGCACCUGCUGUUUCGACCUCUGAAUGCUCAGCUAUGAAAAGACAACUCACAUUUACUCCCGAGGUACUGACCUGUUGCACCCUCUAUCACCCCUGUGAUUAUUAUUUGACCCUGCUGGUCAUCUAUGAACAUUUGAUCAUCUUGAAAAACAAUCUGGCCUUAAAUGGCCAUAAUCACCCCCCGGCACAGCCAGAAGAGGCUCUGAAGCCAUCCCUCAGAGCCUGGUUCCUCUCUAGGUUUCUUCCCAGGUUCUUGCCUUUCUAGGGAGUAUUUCCUAGCCACCGUGCUUCUGCAUCUGGAUUUCUUGCUUUUUGGGGUUUUAGGCUGGGUUUCUGUAUAAGCACUUUGUAACAUCUGCUAAUGUGAAAAGUGCUUUAUAAAUACAUUUGAUUGACUAAUCUCUUGGCAAUUGGAGUUUGUGGAGUACAUUGUUUGUGAAAGAUCCUGGUUCUACUUUAGGCCUACUUAUACCAAACAGUAUGUACAAUGACCUGGUAGUUUGUGAAGGGCGCGUCAGCACUUAGUACACAAUUGUGUUCGGCAUUUCAAGACGGCAGAUUCAUGAUAAACUACAGCUUCAUCCAGAGGUCACAUAAGAAAUAUUUCAGGGAGAAUUCAGACUCCAGAGAAUUGUACCUUAUACAUACAAUUCAUCCUUCAUGUAUUCUGUUAGAUAUCCAUCAAGUAGAUGGUUCAAUGUCUUUUUUUUCAUCAAGGAAAAGGACAGAAAUAAAUUAGAUGCAACAAAGGGCAACAGAAAAAAACAUUGCCUGACGUUAUCCGUCGUUUAGGGUUGCAGCACACCCUAUCAGCAUUACACUAUCACUUUCUCAAGGACGACACUAGUUACGUUCCCCAGUGUACGUAGCUUUCCUUUCAAAGAACUGCAUUUUUAAACUGAUGGAUCUGUAUGAAUGAAAUAAAAUGAAUCAUCCGUU